GGUCCAAUGGUCUAGUGGUAUGAUUGUCGCUUCGGGUUUGGCAUCUUUUGCCACCAGGUUAUCUCAGAUAACCGAUAAUCUAAAUGUGACAGGCCCCGGGUUCGAGUCCCGGUUGGACCC